rnacentral:rRNA from 1 species
CUCGAACGGCAGCGCGGGGCAACCUGGCGGCGAGUGGCGAACGGGUGAGUAAUAUAUCGGAACGUACCCUGGAGUGGGGGAUAACGUAGCGAAAGUUACGCUAAUACCGCAUACGAUCUAAGGAUGAAAGUGGGGGAUUCGCAAGAACCUCAUGCUCCUGGAGCGGCCGAUAUCUGAUUAGCUAGUUGGUGGGGUAAAGGCCUACCAAGGCAUCGAUCAGUAGCUGGUCUGAGAGGACGACCAGCCACACUGGAACUGAGACACGGUCCAGACUCCUACGGGAGGCAGCAGUGGGGAAUUUUGGACAAUGGGCGAAAGCCUGAUCCAGCAAUGCCGCGUGAGUGAAGAAGGCCUUCGGGUUGUAAAGCUCUUUUGUCAGGGAAGAAACGGUGAGGCUAAUAUCCCUGCUAAUGACGGUACCUGAAGAAUAAGCACCGGCUAACUACGUGCCAGCAGCCGCGGUAAUACGUAGGGUGCAAGCGUUAAUCGGAAUUACUGGGCGUAAAGCGUGCGCAGGCGGUUUUGUAAGUCUGUCGUGAAAUCCCCGGGCUCAACCUGGGAAUUGCGAUGGAGACUGCAAGGCUAGAAUCUGGCAGAG